rnacentral:lncRNA from 1 species
AAACUCGUGCCCACAAAGGAUCUGGGAGUCAGAAUACCUGGACACAUCCAAACAAUGGGAUUGCUCUGAGUGGCUUCUCUCCACCUCCAAUUAUGUUUCAUUAAAAACAAAAAGCACACCUUUGUACUUGUGGAAGAAUGCAGCACACACUUAUGGUAUGAACUGUCAGUCAGGUCUACAUCCCCUAGUUGGAUGUGUUCCACAGCCUGACUCAUCUUUCAAGGACAAGAUGGCGAGAACAGCAGUGAACAGUGACAACAAAGUUUCUGAGGUCUGGGUUAGGGGAAGCAAGCUGUCAUUCCAUGAGCUGGCUCAUGGAGAGGCCCACAUGGCAAGAAGCAUUGAGGUCUGCCGGCAGCUCCAUGCGGGAGCUUGGAAAUGGUUUCUCCUUCAAGAGAAUCGAAUGCCCCCACUUACAGCAGGCAGAGCUCAGGCAGAAAGGCAAGCAUGGGAGCAGCUGUAAAUACAGACUGUCUUCAACUACAGCAGAGAAGCCCUGUUGGAGACAGAGAAGGUGGGAUUUAUUUAUGGUGCUGAGGAUUGAACCUAGGCCCUUUGCACUGAGCAAUGUCCCUAGCCCUUUUUAAUUUUUUUUUGAGAUAAGGUCUUGCAAAAUUGCUAUUUUCCAGGCUGGGCUUGAACUUGUGACCUUCCCACUCAGCCUCCAGAGUGCGGGGAUCACAGACAUGCACCACCACACUCAGCCAGGUGGGUCAGUUAAAAAAAGGGUAGUCUGAGAGCUCCAAGUAGCCCUUCAUUCAUCUAGUUAACUAACAUUUAGAGCACCUACUAUGUCUAGGUACCAUGCCCUACCGGAAGGCUGAAAUGAAUAGAACAUGGGCUUUCUCUUGAAGAACUCUAUAGUCAAAGAAACCUCAAACUAAAUUCCACCAGACAUAACAGAUUUGAGCUGGGAGUGGUUAUACAACCCUGUAAUCCCAGUACUCAGGAGGCUGAGGCAGGAGAACUGCUGUGAGUUUGAAGCCAGCCUGGGCUACAUAGUGAGUUCAAGGCCAGCCUGAACUACAUAAUGAGGCCUUGUUUUAAAAAACAAACAAAAGGGCCUGGGGAUUUAGCUAAGNNNNNNNNNNNNNNNNNNNNNNNNNNNNNNNNNNNNNNNNNNNNNNNNNNNNNNNNNNNNNNNNNNNNNNNNNNNNNNNNNNNNNNNNNNNNNNNNNNNNAAAAAAAAAAAAAAAAGAAGAAGAAGAAGAAGAAGAAGAAAAGAAAGACUUGAAUAAAUGAAGAAAAACACAUGCUCCUGGAAGGUGUCAGAUUUCCUCAAGUUAAACUUUAAAGCAAUUUCCCCCUAAAUCUUGACCUCUUCAAAAUGAGACUAGAGAAUAUUAAGGACAUUUUGGAAAAAAAAAAGAAUAAAGAAGAGAAUUUUCUCUGUAAACACUGAGGAAUAUGAUCUAGUUAUAAUAAACACAAUUAUGAGAACAGAAAAUAAAGACAAAGGAAAAAGAACAAAUUUAGUUUGGUUUGAUUUUGCAGGCCUGGGGUGGAAUAAAGUUUUCAAAAUGAAUCCAUCUAGAUAUAAACAUUUAGAAUAUUAUUACUUUACCUUGGCAAUCAGUAGAUUGAUUUCCACACAGCAAUUAUUAACUGUUCUAUAAAUGCAGUUGGAGCAACUAGCUAAUCAUUUACAAAAAACAAAAUAAAAUUGAUAUUCCUGUUACAUGAUUAAAUUCCAUAUGAUUUCAUAUUAAAUUCCAUAGAUUAGAAGUAAGAAAGAAGCCAUGUAGGCAUGUCAUGGUGGUACACACCUGUAAUCCCCACAUUUAGGAAGCUGAGGCAGGAGGAUUGCUGUGAGUUCGAGGCCAGCCUGGGCCAAUUUAUAAAUUGGAAGAAAGAACAAAAAAAUACUUCAAUUUUAUUUUGGAACAAAAGUAAAAAAUAUAAUCUCAAAAUAUUCUGGGCAUGGUGGCACAUGCCUGUAAUCCCAGCACUUGGGAGGCUGAGGCAGGAGGAUUGCCAGGAAGGAGUUCGAGGCCAGCCUGGGCUUCAUAGUGAGUUCAAAGCCAGCCUAAACUAUAGAGUGAGACCCUGACUCAAAAAAACAUAAAAACAAAACAAAACAAAAAACCUCAACCUAACCCAAUGCCUACAAUUCAACCAUGAGCAAUGUUACUUAGCAUCAAUGAGUUCUUCACCUAAAAUGCAGGAGGCAUAUAUGCCCACUGCCCCUCUCUCUCCCAUUCUUGUCUUUAGAAAC